rnacentral:rRNA from 1 species
GUGGGGAAUCUUAGACAAUGGGCGCAAGCCUGAUCUAGCCAUGCCGCGUGAGCGAUGAAGGCCUUAGGGUUGUAAAGCUCUUUCGUGGGGGAAGAUAAUGACUGUACCCCAAGAAGAAGCCCCGGCUAACUCUGUGCCAGCAGCCGCGGUAAUACAGAGGUCUCAAGCGUUGUUCGGAAUUAUUGGGCGUAAAGGGCGCGUAGGCGGGAAGGUGUGUCGACCUGUAAAUCUAUCGUUUCAAGCGGUAGGCUUGGGUUGAAACUGCCUUUCUAGAGGAUUUCAGGGGAGUUUGGAAUUUACGGUGUAGCAGUGAAAUGCGUGGAUAUCGUAAGGAAGGCUUGUGGCGAAGGCGAAACUCUGGGGAAUACCUGACGCUGAGGCGCGAAGGCUAGGUUAGCAAACGGGAUUAGAUACCCUAGUAGUCC